CGGGAAUCGAGUACAAACAGGGCAGGGAGGCCUCUUGGCUUGUGGGGUGGGCGCCCCCGCCCCCCCACGUCCUAAUGGCAGCCCACCAGGCAGAGGAAGGCCCCCUGUGGUUGCAGAAAUGGCCGCUUGGCACAGUGGGGGGAGGAAAUUGAAGCUCAGAAAGCUUCCGUGAUCGCCCAAAUCCCAAGGCCUGUGCCAUCGAUUGAAGUUUGUGUCCUCCCCAAAUUUGUAUGUUGAAAAGUUAAUGACCAAUGUGAUGGCGUUGGGAGGUGGGGCCUUUGGGAGGUGAUUGGGUCAUGAGGGCAGGGUCUUCAUGAAGGGGAUUAGUGUCCUUGUGAAAGAGCGUGGAGAAAGCUCCCAGGCCCCUUCCACCAUGUGAGGACACAGCUGGAAGGCACAGGCUACGAACCAGGAAGUGUUUUCACCACGCCAAACCUGCCGGCACCUUGAUUUUGGACUUGCCAGCCUCCACGACUGUGAGAAAUAAAUGUUUGCUGUUGAUAGACUUAUAAACACCUAGUUAUAAAAGACCUAGUUCCUGGUCUUUUGUUAUAGCAGCUCAAAUGGACUAAGACACCGGUAAGAGAAGUUGCUGGGACUCAGGCUGUCUGAUACCGAAGUCUGGGCUCUCAGCCCCUAAGGGUCACACAUCCCUGAUUCUGAGGCCAGGAGUGCCCUCCUCCCAAGUCAAAGAUGGUCAUGGUCUUGAGACACCGGAGCCCACCUGGGGCUGCCAAUUGCGAUGCUUGAGAACCCUUCCUGUCAUGGCGCCGUGUACAAGCCAGGGAAUGGUUUUGCCAGUUUGGGCAAUCCCAGCUUUCUUGGUUCUAAACUAGUGAUUCUCAACCCUGGCUGCACAUUAAUGUCACCUGGGGAGCUUUGAAAAAUGCACACCACCCAGGCCACCAAGACCAGUCUCUUGGUGGGGCUGUGCAUCAGGACCUUGUUGAACUCCCUGGUGAUUCCAAGGAGCGUCCAGGCCUGAGAACCCCUCUGAAGGGAAACAGCUGGCUUUCAGGCUCCUGUUCCCUUCCACUGAGGGGCCAGGCUGGGGGCUGGGAGUGGAGGAGGGUUUGAGGCAGGGAGGGGGCAUGGGUAAGGAGGCAGUAAAAAGGGAGAGGUCGAGGCUGACAAAGAAUGUGUCGGGUGAGGGACCCUGACAGCUUAAGUAACUGGAUCAGGGUGCACACAGGGUAACUGGCAGAGCUGGAAAUCACACCACUGACAUGGUGGCAAAACCACUGGAACCUCUUGUUACUGGGGAGACCCCACGGGUAGCUCGGGUAGAGCUCCCCAAAACCUACUUCUGCAUCCAGUUCUCGUCUCAAUCCAUCCUUUCUGCUGAUUCAGCCGCAUCCACGCGCAGGGCUUCUAUCAUUGCCUGUAUCCCAAAUUUCUAUUUUCAGUGCAGACUGUUCCAUGGAGCUUCAAACCUAGACUGCAGUGACUCAUCUGACACCUCUCUUGGCUGACUCCAAGGCCCCCAGGGUUUCACAUGCCCAAGAAUAAACUCGUAAGCACCUCCACCCCCAAUUGGUCCUUCCACAGGGUCCCAAGCCCAGUGAAUGGCACCAGGAAUCGUGCUUGACUCCCCUCCCUCACUGCCCCGUGCGUCACCAGCGUUCUUGGUCUAACCUUCUAAGUACCCGUCCAUCCUGUUCUCUUCUCUCCAUCUUCAUUGCCACCCUUUUAGCCAAGCUACCAUCACCUUUGGUAAUUUCUUCUUUUUAUUUCUGGGUAAGUUAUUCUUGCUAAUGUGAUUAUUUGAUUUCUGCCUGCGUCUCCCGCCAGCUUAUACACUGGGUAAGGGCAGGGGCUAGCUUUUUGGUGACUUUUGUAUCCCCAGCACCUAGCACCUCAUCUGGG
ensembl:lncRNA